rnacentral:rRNA from 1 species
AUUGGACGCUGGCGGCAUGCCUUACACAUGCAAGUCGAACGGUAACAGGUCUUCGGAUGCUGACGAGCGGCGAACGGGUGAGUAAUACAUCGGAACGUGCCCGAGAGUGGGGGAUAACGAGGCGAAAGCUUUGCUAAUACCGCAUACGAUCUCAGGAUGAAAGCAGGGGACCGCAAGGCCUUGCGCUCACGGAGCGGCCGAUGGCAGAUUAGGUAGUUGGUGGGAUAAAAGCUUACCAAGCCGACGAUCUGUAGCUGGUCUGGGAGGACGACCAGCCACACUGGGACUGAGACACGGCCCAGACUCCUACGGGAGGCAGCAGUGGGGAAUUUUGGACAAUGGGCGCAAGCCUGAUCCAGCCAUGCCGCGUGCAGGAUGAAGGCCUUCGGGUUGUAAACUGCUUUUGUACGGAACGAAAAGACUCUGGUUAAUACCUGGGGUCCAUGACGGUACCGUAAGAAUAAGCACCGGCUAACUACGUGCCAGCAGCCGCGGUAACAC